rnacentral:rRNA from 1 species
GGUUAAGCGACUAAGCGUACACGGUGGAUGCCCUGGCAGUCAGAGGCGAUGAAGGACGUGCUAAUCUGCGAAAAGCGUCGGUAAGGUGAUAUGAACCGUUAUAACCGGCGAUGUCCGAAUGGGGAAACCCAGUGCAAUUCGUUGCACUAUCGUUAACUGAAUACAUAGGUUAACGAGGCGAACCGGGGGAACUGAAACAUCUAAGUACCCCGAGGAAAAGAAAUCAACCGAGAUUCCCCCAGUAGCGGCGAGCGAACGGGGAGCAGCCCAGAGUCUGAAUCAGCUUGUGUGUUAGUGGAACGGUCUGGAAAGUCCGACGGUACAGGGUGAUAGUCCCGUACACCAAAAUGCACAGGUUGUGAACUCGAAGAGUAGGGCGGGACACGUGGUAUCCUGUCUGAAUAUGGGGGGACCAUCCUCCAAGGCUAAAUACUCCUGACUGACCGAUAGUGAACCAGUACCGUGAGGGAAAGGCGAAAAGAACCCCGGCGAGGGGAGUGAAAAAGAACCUGAAACCGUGUACGUACAAGCAGUGGGAGCACCUUCGGGUGUGACUGCGUACCUUUUGUAUAAUGGGUCAGCGACUUAUAUUCUGUAGCAAGGUUAACCGUAUAGGGGAGCCGCAGGGAAACCGAGUCUUAACUGGGCGUUAAGUUGCAGGGUAUAGACCCGAAACCCGGUGAUCUAGCCAUGGGCAGGUUGAAGGUUGGGUAACACUAACUGGAGGACCGAACCGACUAAUGUUGAAAAAUUAGCGGAUGACUUGUGGCUGGGGGUGAAAGGCCAAUCAAACCGGGAGAUAGCUGGUUCUCCCCGAAAGCUAUUUAGGUAGCGCCUCGUGAACUCAUCUUCGGGGGUAGAGCACUGUUUCGGCUAGGGGGUCAUCCCGACUUACCAACCCGAUGCAAACUACGAAUACCGAAGAAUGUUAUCACGGGAGACACACGGCGGGUGCUAACGUCCGUCGUGAAGAGGGAAACAACCCAGACCGCCAGCUAAGGUCCCAAAGUCAUGGUUAAGUGGGAAACGAUGUGGGAAGGCACAGACAGCCAGGAUGUUGGCUUAGAAGCAGCCAUCAUUUAAAGAAAGCGUAAUAGCUCACUGGUCGAGUCGGCCUGCGCGGAAGAUGUAACGGGGCUAAACCAUGCACCGAAGCUGCGGCAGCGACACUAUGUGUUGUUGGGUAGGGGAGCGUUCUGUAAGCCUGCGAAGGUGUGCUGUGAGGCAUGCUGGAGGUAUCAGAAGUGCGAAUGCUGACAUAAGUAACGAUAAAGCGGGUGAAAAGCCCGCUCGCCGGAAGACCAAGGGUUCCUGUCCAACGUUAAUCGGGGCAGGGUGAGUCGACCCCUAAGGCGAGGCCGAAAGGCGUAGUCGAUGGGAAACAGGUUAAUAUUCCUGUACUUGGUGUUACUGCGAAGGGGGGACGGAGAAGGCUAUGUUAGCCGGGCGACGGUUGUCCCGGUUUAAGCAUGUAGGCUGGUUAUCCAGGCAAAUCCGGAUAAUCAAGGCUGAGGUGUGAUGACGAGGCACUACGGUGCUGAAGUAACAAAUGCCCUGCUUCCAGGAAAAGCCUCUAAGCAUCAGGUAACAUCAAAUCGUACCCCAAACCGACACAGGUGGUCAGGUAGAGAAUACCAAGGCGCUUGAGAGAACUCGGGUGAAGGAACUAGGCAAAAUGGUGCCGUAACUUCGGGAGAAGGCACGCUGGUGUGUAGGUGAAGUCCCUGCGGAUGGAGCUGAGACCAGUCGAAGAUACCAGCUGGCUGCAACUGUUUAUUAAAAACACAGCACUGUGCAAACACGAAAGUGGACGUAUACGGUGUGACGCCUGCCCGGUGCCGGAAGGUUAAUUGAUGGGGUUAUCCGUAAGGAGAAGCUCUUGAUCGAAGCCCCGGUAAACGGCGGCCGUAACUAUAACGGUCCUAAGGUAGCGAAAUUCCUUGUCGGGU